rnacentral:rRNA from 1 species
UACGUAGGGACCAAGCGUUGCUCGGAAUCACUGGGCGUAAAGGGUGCGUAGGCGGCUUGGUAAGUUGGGUGUGAAAGCCCCGGGCUCAGCCCGGGAAGGGCACUCGAAACUGCCGAGCUGGAGUGCCGGAGGGGAGAGUGGAAUUCCUGGUGUAGCGGUGAAAUGCGUAGAUAUCAGGAGGAAUACCGGUGGCGAAAGCGACUCUCUGGACGGCAACUGACGCUGAGGCACGAAAGCGUGGGGAGCAAACAGG